GCGGGUGUGGCGGAAUUGGCAGACGCACCAGACUUAGGAUCUGGCACCGCACGGCGUGGGGGUUCGACUCCCUUCACCGGCA
rnacentral:tRNA from 7 species